AUACGAAGGGUGCAAGCGUUACUCGGAAUUACUGGGCGUAAAGCGUGCGUAGGUGGUUGUUUAAGUCUGUCGUGAAAGCCCUGGGCUCAACCUGGGAACUGCGAUGGAAACUGGGCGACUAGAGUGUGGUAGAGGGUAGCGGAAUUCCUGGUGUAGCAGUGAAAUGCGUAGAUAUCAGGAGGAACAUCCAUGGCGAAGGCAGCUACCUGGGCCAACACUGACACUGAGGCACGAAAGCGUGGGGAGCAAACAGGAUUAGAUACCCUGGUAGUCCACGCCCUAAACGAUGCGAACUGGAUGUUGGGUGCACUUUGGCACGCAGUAUCGAAGCUAACGCGUUAAGUUCGCCGCCUGGGGAGUACGGUCGCAAAACUGAAACUUAAAGGAAUUGACGGGG
rnacentral:rRNA from 1 species